GGCUGGUCUGAAGGUAGUGAGUUAUCACAAUUGAUUGUUCUCAGUCAGUUACAGAUUGAAAACUCUUGUUCUACACUUNUCUUUCACUACUGCACUUGCCUAGUCUAAG
rnacentral:Y_RNA from 1 species